UAAUCGCGAAGUUGAUAAACUCGCGAUGCUCAUCCGAUAAUAGCUGUUUAUAAUCGAACAAAUUUUAGAUAUUUAUAUUUCGUUACCGUCGAAUUGGCAACAUGUAUUUGUGAAUUAAUUAUAUACUAGUUAAUUGAGUAUGAUUUGAAAAUGAAAAGGCAGAGUUGAAUUAAUUAUGUAACGAGAGUUUACCAAAUAUAGACUAAUAGAACGCCAAAAAAUUGAAGUCGGUUACCUAUAUCUUCUUGAAAGCAGUACCCAACUGAUUGAAAACGCGCCUGUGGAACUUAAACUGAAACCAAAUAAUCGAAACUGAUAAUAAAAUAUUUUUCAAGCCUACCUAUAGGUAUAGAAACUUCCCCACAUUCAAUUAUCAAUUGCAGUGUUGUGACAAUUUUAUAAGAAACUUGUGUACAUUAGUGUUUCAAUGAAAGCAAAACUUAUUUGAUUUCAGUAAUUUAAAAGAAUAAGAUACUUUUUAAUUAUUAACUACAGCACAUUUAUCGAGAAUCAAUUUAUAAAAAUUAUUAGAAUGUAUUUGAUGUAAAAAAUAUUAAUUUACCAUGCCUUCAAGUGAUAGUGAUAAUGUGAUACAAGCCACUCCACCGAAACAAACAAAGCUGUUUAAAAAGAAAGUAAAAUAUCGGAAAAGUGAACAUUCUGUUGAAGAUUAUAUAUUCCAUAUACUUCCUAACCAUACUAAUGAUACAGUAAAAGGUUUGACGAAUUCUGCCAACCUUAAUAAGACUUAUAUUUAUUAUAGUAUUGAGGAAGUCUUGAAAUUGCCCAAAUACAACAUACUAAAUAAUAACAUACACACUAUAGGAUUGUAUAAAUUUCAUGGAAAUACUGAACAUUAUUUAACAAUUCAUUGGAUUCACACAAAUGAAAUCAAAGUUCCUCUUAAUUUUAAGUAUGUUACUAAUACUCCUAAAAACAAUGAAAUUUUGUCAGUUUAUGGUGCAAUGAAUGACAACAUUUUUGUGGUGAAAUUUUAUAAAAUUCAAGCUAAAGCUACCGUUGAUAAAUAUAUUGAAAAUUUGAAAUA